AUUGAACGCUGGCGGCAUGCCUUACACAUGCAAGUCGAACGGUAACAGGUCUUCGGAUGCUGACGAGUGGCGAACGGGUGAGUAAUACAUCGGAACGUGCCCAGACGUGGGGGAUAACGAGGCGAAAGCUUUGCUAAUACCGCAUACGAUCUAAGGAUGAAAGCAGGGGACCGCAAGGCCUUGCGCGUUUGGAGCGGCCGAUGGCAGAUUAGGUAGUUGGUGGGAUAAAAGCUUACCAAGCCGACGAUCUGUAGCUGGUCUGAGAGGACGACCAGCCACACUGGAACUAGGACACGGCCCAGACUCCUAGGGGAGGCAGCGGGGGGGAAUUUUGGACAAUGGGCGAAAGCCUGACCCAGAAAUGCCGCGUGCAGGAUGAAGGCCUUCGGGUUGUAAACUGCUUUUGUAGGGAACAAAAAGGCUCUGGCUAAUACCUGGGGCAAAUGACGGUACCGUAAGAAUAAGCACCGGCUAACUACGU
rnacentral:rRNA from 1 species